UCCAUACAUACAUACAUAAAUCACCCACAUAGAAAUAGAAACAAGGAACAUCGAUUAUUUUCAAAGAACAUUACUUUUGCAGAAUACUGAGAUCAAAAUCCAUGAGCACUAGGAUCCUUUAACAAUUGUUACUGGACAGGUUGCAUUUACCAUCACAUGGUUGCUCACACUUCCAAUCAGUACCCUAAUUUCAAUCAAAAUCACAACCUCAGAAGCAAAAAAGGAAAAUGAUGACAAGAGCAAGAAACAGUUGAUAAAUUUACGUUACAAUCCAACCCGUCGGACCAUGGACGGAAAUUGGAAUUGUUUUCUUUAGAUGUUCGUUAAUUUUUCAAGGUUUUGUCAUUGGCAAGAGUGUAUAAGUAAAUUCCAACUCAGAACUUUACUUAUAAAAGAGUGCACUCUGCAAUAAGUAAAUCAAAGACUAUAUCUAUCUAAAUGAAGGACUAGACCCAAAGUAGUUUCACCCUUGAAAACAUAUUUCAAUUUCCCAGGAAGAAGAUAAAGAUUGAAUUACCUUUGAAUGGUGCCAAGGCCUCUGCUGCCCAUUACCAAACAAUCAAGCUUCAAAUCUGCAACAGAUUCACAUAUUUUAUCCCUGGCCUCACCCCAGUAAAUCUUUGUGACAAUAUUCACCUCUUUCUGCCUUGAAGCCGUAUCAACCAAGUCUAAAACCUCAGGAUCAGGUUCCACCUCAUAAUGUUUCAUCACUUCCUUCUCUCUGAACUCCGAUAAUGGAAUCAAAGCUACAAAUAAAAGAUCACCCAAGUCAAAUAUCGUCAAAAUACCAAUGACCCAUAGUUUUAAAACUUGAUCAAAAACGGAAGUGGAGUAUGGCAGUGACUUACGUGAGCCACUGGUGGACCAAAGAAGGUUACGAGACUCGUCGCUCUGAUUGGGUUUGACGUGGAUGAGGUAAAGGGUAUCCCCUUUGUCUACCAGAUUGUCGAUUGUCCAUUUAAGAGCUGCUUUGCUUCCCUUGGAGAAAUCCAUUGCUACACCGAUUUGCCUAUCUUUUGUCAUCUUCUUUUUCUUGAGAAAUUAAACCCAGAAAUGAACAACAAGAUUUGUUCACAGGGACUAGGUCUUCAAAUCUAAGCACACAGUUUGGAGGAACAAAGAGAAAGCUACCAGAUGCUCAGCCUCUUAUUCUUCUUUUUUGUGAAGACCAAGGCAUUUAUUGGAUAUGUAUUUAGUUGGAUUGGCUUGCCAGGUUGUUAUUGGAAUACAAAUUAAAACGAUUAAGAAUGAUAUGAAACUCUGAUUCCAUCUUAUCUCUAUCGCUAUUUAAUAGAAAAAUCAUAAAUAGUUUUUUUACAUAAAUUUAUUUAUUUAUUUUUAUAAAUAUUAUUAUUCUAGCAGUAUUUUUAUAUUAUCUUUAAAUAAAAGAGUUACGAGAUCAAAUAUGUGUUGAAUAGUAAAAUGCAUGUUUGUUAGCAUUCUAUUUAUAUUCAUUAUUUCAAAAAUUUUAAAAGAAAAUACUUUUAAUAUAAAAUAUUUUAUUUUUACCCUAUCGUAAGUGUGAUAAGAUCUAGUUUAAACAAUGAGAAUAAUUUAUAUUAUAAUAAUCCUAAAUAUCUUAAUUUUUGGGCAUAAAUGAAAUAAAACCAUGUGACCAAUUUUUAUUAUAUAUUAUUUAACUGACUUUAAUUUUAAUUAAAUUAUUUUGUAAAAUAAAUAAUCAAAUUUUGAAAGAAACACAAAUGUUAUUGUAUAUGGAUGUGUAUAAUAAAUAUUUUAUGUGUUUUAAAAUUAAUGACAUCAUUUUUUUUCAUGAUUUUCAUUGAUAUAUAAAAGUAAAGGUUUUUAAGAUCAUUUUAAAUAAUUUUUUUAACAAAAGUAAAAAAUAAAUUAGUAAUGUGAUUUAAAUCAAUGUGGUAAGGAUUAAUCUGAAAUAGAUAAGUCCCGAAUAUAUAUUUUUUUUUAUAUUUCAAAUGAUAAAAAUUUUGAUAUCUCUUUAUGAUAAUUAAUUUAUUAUUUGUUAAUUUGAAUUGAUUGUCUUUAACGAAACAAAUCAAAACUCAAUUUUUUUAAAAUUUUUUUAAGUUGCUAGACUUACAAUUGGAUUAAAUUAACGAAACAAAUAUUUUUUUUAUUAAGCAAUUGAAUUAGCUAUUUUUCAAAAUUCGGGUUAUUUUGUUUUUGGUUGUUGUUCAUUUUUUUUCAUUGAACCAAACAUAGAGACAAUGUUGUAAAGGGUCACAAAAAAAAUUGCAAAAGAAACAAAUUACACAAUAUGUAAAUUUGAGAGUACAAUUUUUUAGAUUUAAGACUAAAUUGAUACAAUAUAUAAAUGGUGAGGGUUAAAGUUGUUAUUAUGCCAUUUUUAAAAGCUACUGUGUCAACUUUUCGUUAGUCAUUUGAUGGUCGGUAACAAAAAGAAAAAAUCGAAUAGUUGAAUGACUAUUUUGUAACUUUCAAUAGUUAGGUGACUAAGAAAGAGGCUUACUUAUAGUUGGGUUAUUACCAAUGUAGUUUACCUAAAAUUUUAUGUAAAAAAUUUAUAAAAAUAGAUAUAAAAAUUGGGAAAAUUAUCGCAUACAUAGGUUGUGGAGUUUUAUUAAAACUUCACAAGCGCAUUGAGAGUGUGAUAGGUAUAUUAUGAGUGAAUAUUUAGUACAUUGACAAUGCAUUUAUUUUAUUCUACAAGCAACUUUAAAAAAUGGACUAUACCCCUAGAAGACACUUGUUACCCUCUUGGCUUAGCUAGCGUAGUCUAAAAACUCGAGGCAAUAUAUCAAAUAAACUCCCGUGUAUUAUAGAGUUAGUAAAAAAAAAUUAUAUAUAUUAUCAAAUCAUCUUAGGUAAAAGUACCCUGGAGACCAUUGUACUAGAAGUUGGAUUGUAUUUUGUCCCAUUUACUAAAAAAAUGAGCAAAUUAGUCUAUAUACGUUAAAUAAAAAAGUAGAUCAGUCCUUUCUAUUUUAAGCUUUAUCCAUUUGUACUGUUAAAAAUUUACGUAUCUAACAAAAUAACCAAGCAAUGACACGUGGUGUGCCACGUGUACCUCAUUAUGAUGUGUAGAGACCAAGUUCUAAUUGUAAAAGUUGUUGAAUUUUUAAUAGAAGGACUAGUUUAUUCUUUAAUUUAAUGUACAAUAACUAACUUGCCUAUUUUUUAAGUAGAGGGGGCAAAUUGCAAUUCGAUUCCUAGUACAAAAACCAAUAUUUUUACCAAUCAUCUUAUUGUAUGUAUGUAUAUAUGUAUUUUUUAAAGUUUAUAUAAUAAUAAUAAUAAAAAAGAUGAAGAUAAAAAUGCAUUCAAAAUAAUAUUGGAUGAGGACACCUAUAGUUAUACAAUUUUAUUUAUUUUUUUGAUAAUUUAACAAAUUAAAAAAAUAAAUUUUUGAUAAUUUAACAAAUUAAAACUCCAUUAAUGGAUAACAUUGAAAUCAAAUGCUUAAAUAUAUGAGUAAAUAGUUUCUAAAGUAAAAUAAAUAACAAUAAAAGAUUGUAGAACAUUGUUACUUUAAUCCAAACCGUGGACAAUGUCACAACAUGUGGAACCAAUCUUAAUUAAGCAGUCUCUCAGGAUCCGAGUACAAUCUGAGAAUCAAGAUGUCCACACAUACAUAAAUACAUCACUCACAUAGAAACAGAAACAAGGCACAUCAAUUAUUUCCAAAGAUGCAUAUACUAUUGCAGAAAACUAAUUGCAGACUUUUGUGAUCAAAAUCCAUGAGCACUAGGAUCCUUCACAAUUGUUACAGGACAAGUUGCAUUUACCAUCACAUAAUUGCUCACACUUCCGAUCAGUACCCUAAUUUCAAUCAAAAUCACCAUAUCAGAACUAAAAAAGAAUGAUGACAAGAAGAGGAAGGAACAAUAUGUUACAAUUCGACCUGAAAUUGUUCUUUGUAGAUGUUUCAAGGUUUUGUUAUUGACAAGAGUAUUUUAAUAAAUUCGAAUUAUAGUAACAAAGAGUCCAUUUCUGAAAUCUGUAUCAAAGACAGGGCUCAUAACAAUUUAAUCAAUACAUGUACCUCAAUGAAUGAUUAGUUUCACCCUUGAAAACAUAUUUUUCAGUUUCCCAGGAAGAUGGUAAAGAUUGAAUUACCUUUGAAUGGUGCCAAGGCCUCUGCUGCCCAUUACCAAACAGUCAAGCUUCAAGUCUUCAACGGAUUCACAUAUUUUAUCCCUGGCAUCACCCCAGUAAAUCUUAGCCACAAGAGUCCCCUGUAAUCAAAUUUUGUGAGCAAACUCAGAUUAUAAAAAAAAGAAGAAGGUAGAAAUACAAAACAGCCUGGGAAAACCUGUUUCUACCUGGAAGCAAUAUCAACCAAAUCCAAAAUCACAGGAUCAGGUUCCACCUCAUAAUGUUUCAUCACUUCCUUCUCUCUGAACUCCGAUAAUGGAAUCAAAGCUACAAAUAAAAGAUCACCCAAGUCAAAUGUCGUCAAACUUCAAAUGACCCAUAGCAUAAAAAAGGAAAAGUGGAGUAUAGGAGUGAGAUAUGUGAGCCGGUGGUAGACCAAAGAAGGUUGCGAGACUCGUCGCUUUGAUGGGGUUUGACAUGGAUGAGGUAAAGAGUAUCCCCUUGGUUU
rnacentral:lncRNA from 1 species